GCAAACUUGGUCAUUUAGAGGAAGUAAAAGUCGUAACAAGGUUUCCGUAGGUGAACCUGCGGAAGGAUCAUUCACAAUAAGUGUUUAUGGCACUUUCAAAUCCAUACCCACCUUGUGUGCAUUGUAAAGGCCCUUUCAACUCGCUCUCUCUCUCUCUCUCUCUCCUCCUCCUUGGGAGGAGAAGGAAAGGAAGAAGGGGAAGGACUGGGCUUCAUUUUCUCUCACACGUCUUCAAUUGCAAGUCUAACAUUCAGAGUAAUCAAAACUCGAAUACAACUUUCAACAACGGAUCUCUUGGCUCUCGCAUCGAUGAAGAACGCAGC
rnacentral:misc_RNA from 1 species